UCUCUUGUAACUGUUCUGUGAUUGUCCACUGUAUGGCGCUAGGGGGCGCUGUAACACCACGGUGUUUUAUAGUCAUUACAACACUCUUCCAGCAGAUGGCGGCAAAGUGUUGGGGAAAGAGGGUGCCUUUUUGCCAAUCCCCAUAUAUUUUUCUAAUUUUCUUUGUAUGGUAUGCAAACAUUUCCAAUGCUCAAAAUUUGGUCUCAGCUACCAUUCUAACUAUUUGAGGCUUACGCUUCUCUGUUUCCCCUCCAAUCUGGGCCGAAGUCUUCCUGUCAGUGAAACAGGGAUGUUUAAAGGAGUUUUUUUGGGGCCCCUUUCCCAGAGCUGUCCUGAUGGCCCAUUUGGGGCAGUUUCUCUCUUUUUGGAGCGUGGAGCUGCUCUUAAGGCCCUGCCUGCUGGAUUCUCAAAUAGCAUGGUGGACACUCCCCUCCAGACCUCCUCUGUGGGCCCAGCCUCCCCUCUCUUAGCCCCUUGGAGUUCCUGCCCCUUUUGGGCCCCAAAGUCCUGUCUCUAACUCAAAGACAGUUAGUUAUCUGUGUUAAAAUAAAAUAACAUGGGCCGGGCGUGGUGGCUCACGCCUGUAAUCCCAGCACUUUGGGAGGCCGAGGUGGGCGGAUGACCUGAGGUCAGGAGUUCGAGACCAGCCUGGCCAACAUGGUGAGACCCGAUCUCUACUAAAAUUGUCAAAGAACAAAUUAAGGUGUGGUGGCGGGUGCCUGUAAUCUCAGUUACUCGGGAGGCUGAAGCAGGAGAAUUGCUUGAACCCGGGAGGUGGAGGUUGCAGUGAUCGGAGAUCGUGCCAGCCUGGGUGACAGAGCAAGACUCCAUCUCAAAAAAUAAAUAAUUUUUUAAAAAUGGAGACCAGGACUGAGAAUUCCCCAAAGCAGACAAAAGCAGUUAGGCCAUGUAAACACAACUUAAUCUAGUUUGACUUCUGAAUGUGAGUGAAACUUAGCUUAUUCCCUGUAAAUAAAUGCUGCUGAGAAUCAUAAACAAAGCUGAAAUCGCCUUCCAAAAGGAUGUAAGACAAUCACUUUUAACCGAUCCCUUGUCAUAUGGAAGCCCCCACCAUCAUAGUCGGUCAUCGUGAAGGUGAAGCCACCUCCUGGUUUUUGCUUUUUUUUUUUUUUUUUUUUUUUUGAGAUGGAGUCUCGCUCUGUCGCCCAGGUUGGAGUGCAGUGGUGCGAUCUUGGCUCACUGCAAGCUCCGCCUCCCGGGUUCACGCCAUUCUCCUGCCUCAGCCUCCCGAGUAGCUGGGACUACAGGCGUGCGCCACCGCGCCUGGCCCCAACCUGCAUUUUCAUUGGUUGCAGGGAUAAAAGGCAAGUCCCACCAGAAAAUCAAUGCCAACCAGGAACUGAGGGUGGCGGUGUUCAGUCUGUUCCCAGGGUUUUGAGAACUGGUGCAGUGCCUAACAAGCACACACGUUCCCCUUAGUAAGGAAAUACGGUUAAGAAUGAAGUAAAAAAAAAAUUGUUUUCUUUCAAUUUAUGUGUCUAUAUAUUUUCAUUUUUUAUGUUAAUAAAGACAAGGUCUCGCUAUGUUGCCCAGGCUGAUCUCAAACUCCUUAGCUCUACAUAUUUUCAAAUGGCUACUAACUUCUUAGGACAUAAGAGCUUAGGUUGUUUAGACCUCACCAGAUGAGAAUGGAACUGUUAGGUAUUUCUUUGGGGGCGCUAUGGAAAAAAUGACUGAAUUACUAAGGUCUGGUGCACCAAGCAAGUCCAGAGCCACCUGCACCAGGGCACAGGGGUUGAGAGCCUGGGCUCUGGAGUCAGAAGACCUAGGUUUGCCACCUCACUUUGCCAUCCUUGGGCAUUGUGCGACCUCUGCGCCUGUAAAACGGGAAUAGUUAACAGUUGUGGGAUUAGUGACAAAGCCCAUAGAAAACAUUCAGACAGGCCGGGCGUGGUGGCGGGCGCCUGUAGUCCCAGCUACUCGGGAGGCUGAGGCAGGAGAAUGGCGUGAACCCGGGAGGCGGAGCUUGCAGUGAGCCGAGAUCGUGCCACUGCACUCCAGCCUGGGCGACAGAGCGAGACUCCCUCUCAAAAACAAACGAACAAAAACAUUCAGACAAUCCCUGGCAUGUCUUAGCAGGCGAUAAAUGUUAGUUUUAUAAAUUUAUUUAUUUAACCAAAAUGGACUCAUUCUACAUAUGUAUUUCUAUCAUUUUUUUCCUUAUUAUUAUCUGGACAUUUUUUUCUAGGCAGGCCUGUAAGGAUCUUUCUUUCUUUCUCUUGCCUUCCUUCUUUUUUU
rnacentral:lncRNA from 1 species